rnacentral:tRNA from 1 species
GUGGGCGUAGCUCAGUUGGUUAGAGCAUCAGUUUGUGGCACUGAGGGUCGUGGGUUCGAUCCCCAUCGCCCACCCCA